UACGGAGGGUGCGAGCGUUGUCCGGAAUCACUGGGCGUAAAGGGCGCGUAGGCGGCCCGGUAAGCGUGCGGUGAAAGCCCGGGGCUCAACCCCGGGUCGGCCGUGCGGACUGCCGGGCUGGAGCACUGUAGAGGCGGGUGGAAUUCCGGGUGUAGCGGUGGAAUGCGUAGAGAUCCGGAAGAACACCGGUGGCGAAGGCGGCCCGCUGGGCAGUGGCUGACGCUGAGGCGCGACAGCGUGGGGAGCAAACAGG
rnacentral:rRNA from 1 species